GUGUUGUAUGAAAGAAGAAAAGGUUAGCAUUCCCUUUGACAAAGAUGAAAGAGGUUCUCAGGCCUGACAACAUGCAUAUGGGUAAGGUAUUGUCACCUCCUAAGUGGCAUCCAACCAUCAUUUUUG
rnacentral:ncRNA from 1 species